AACGAACGCUGGCGGCAUGCCUAACACAUGCAAGUCGAACGAGACCUUCGGGUCUAGUGGCGCACGGGUGCGUAACGCGUGGGAACCUGCCCUUAGGUUCGGAAUAACUCCCCGAAAGGGGUGCUAAUACCGGAUAAUGUCUUCGGACCUAAGAUUUAUCGCCUUUGGAUGGGCCCGCGUUGGAUUAGCUAGUUGGUAGGGUAAAAGCCUACCAAGGCGACGAUCCAUAGCUGGUCUGAGAGGAUGAUCAGCCACACUGGGACUGAGACACGGCCCAGACUCCUACGGGAGGCAGCAGUGGGGAAUAUUGGACAAUGGGCGAAAGCCUGAUCCAGCAAUGCCACGUGAGUGAUGAAGGCCUUAGGGUUGUAAAGCUCUUUUACCCGGGAUGAUAAUGACAGUACCGGGAGAAUAAGCUCCGGCUAACUCCGUG
rnacentral:rRNA from 1 species